rnacentral:rRNA from 1 species
UAAUACCGCGUACGCCCUUCGGGGGAAAGCAGGGGAUCUUCAGACCUUGCGCUAUUGGAUGUGCCUAUGUCAGAUUAGCUAGUUGGUGGGGUAAAGGCCUACCAGGGCGACGAUCCGUAGCUGGUCUGAGAGGAUGAUCAGCCACAUCGGGACUGAGACACGGCCCGAACUCCUACGGGAGGCAGCAGUGGGGAAUAUUGGACAAUGGGGGCAACCCUGAUCCAGCCAUGCCGCGUGUGUGAAGAAGGCUUUCGGGUUGUAAAGCACUUUCAGUGAGGAGGAAAACUCUGCGACUAAUACUCGUAGGGCUUGACGUUACCCACAGAAGAAGCACCGGCUAACUCCGUGCCCGCAGCCGCGGUAAUACGGAGGGUGCUAGCGUUAAUCAGAAUUACUGGGCGUAGCGCGCGCGUAUGUGGUUUGAUAAGCGAGAUGUGAAAGCCCCGGGCUUAACCUGGGAACGGCCUUUCGAACUGUCAGGCUAGAGUAUGGUAGAGGGUAGUGGAAUUUCCUGUGUAGCGGUGAAAUGCGUAUAUAUAGGAAGGAACAACAGUGGCGAUCGCGGCUACCUGGCACUAUACUGACUCUGAGGUGCGAGAGCGUGGGGAGCAAACAGGAUUAGAUACCCUGGUAGUCCACGCCGUAAACGAUGUGUAUUAGCCGUUGGGACUCUUGAAGUCUUAGUGGCGCAGCUAACGCACUAAGUAGACCGCCUGGGGAGUACGGCCGCAAGGUUAAAACUCAAAUGAAUUGACGGGGGCCCGCACAAGCGGUGGAGCAUGUGGUUUAAUUCGACGCAACGCGAAGAACCUUACCUGGCCUUGACAUGCAGAGAACUUUCCAGAGAUGGAUUGGUGCCUUCGGGAACUCUGACACAGGUGCUGCAUGGCCGUCGUCAGCUCGUGUCGUGAGAUGUUGGGUUAAGUCCCGUAACGAGCGCAACCCCUAUCCCUAGUUGCUAGCAGUUCGGCUGAGAACUCUAGGGAGACUGCCGGUGACAAACCGGAGGAAGGUGGGGAUGACGUCAGGUCAUCAUGGCCCUUACGGCCAGGGCUACACACGUGCUACAAUGGUGCGCACAGAGGGGUGCAAACCCGCGAGGGGGAGCCAAUCUCACAAAACGCAUAGUAGUCUGGAUCGCAGUCUGCAACUCGAGUGCGUGAAGUCGGAAUCGCUAGUAAUCGUGAAUCAGAAUGUCACGGUGAAUACGUUCCCGGGCGUUGUACACACCGCCCGUCACACCAUGGGAGUGGAUUGCACCAGAAGUGGUUAGUCUAACCUUCGGGAGGACGAUCACCACGGUGUGGUUCAUGACUGGGGUGAAGUCGUAACAAGGUAGC